rnacentral:lncRNA from 1 species
UCUCAAUUAAGGGAAUUGUUAUUUCUAAUAGCCUUUUUAAAAAGCUUGCUUACAAAAUGUAUAUUACAUUAAAAAAAAGUAUAGUAUGAUGUUUGUAAAUUGUCGGGAACCCAUAUAACAAAAAUCAGUAAAUCGGUCGAAAGUGUUUAAUUCGUAUAAAAAUAAAAAGGGGUUGCCAAAACAUGGCACAUCUUAUUGAUAUUUUCAAAAAUAAUUUAGAUAUAUACAUAACGGUUCUCUUUUAACAAAGAAAACGCAAUGACAUAGCUAUUCGUUUGAAUAAUUGUUGAUACUAUCUCAUUGUUUCAUCUUUGAUUAGUUUUUUAACAGUUUGGCAAACAAGCAAGACAAGACAAGAAAAAAAAGGAAUUUUGAUAUAGGGCUGAAUAAGCCCCCCCCCCCCCACCUAACUAAAAAAAAUCAAAAGUUUAAUAUCAAUAUUUGCCACAUUAUGUUUUAAAAUUGUUUCCUUUCAGAGCUAUUACAAAAGUGAUACUACUAUUAUGGAGUGCUGAGGUAAGCAACAACAAAAAUAUGUUGUAUUGUAUAUAUUAUCAUCUCUGUAACUAUGUUAUUUAGUUAAUGAGAAUAAAGAUCUAUCUAUCUACAAAAAUGUAACAAUAGUCGCAUUCAGUUUUACAAGACAUAUUUUUAAUGCAAUUUUCUUGAAACAAAAGAUCUGAUAUCAAAUUUUCUAAAAAUCAAGCUACAAUUUCUGUUUAAUGAAAACGACAUAAUAUGGAUUUUGUGAAAUUGAAACUAUAAGUUUUGUUUAAGGUGAAAAACUAAGUACUCAUUAAAUUUUCGGAAAAUGAAAGAAAGAAGAGAAUUCAAUGAAAAGAACAAAAGAAAACAUUUAUGAGAAAUGACCAGCAAAUUUUUGAUGGCGCAAAUUCUUCGCAUGAGCAAACCAAAAAAAAAAAACAAAAAAAAAAAACCACACACACACAUCUUUAAAUAUAAGAAUGUUUUAUCAUUUAUUUUUGUUCUUCACGUGUUUAAAAAAUUCAUUGCUACGGUAACUACCGAUGGAACCAUCUUGAAAAUCCAUCUUGUUACCAGUACUUAGAAAUGAUGUGAGCAGAUGGUCUUAUAACUUUUAUACACUCAGCCAAACUCAAUACCCAUUUCCAUGUAAACAUCCUAUAAUGUUUGAACAUUUACGUAAAAAAAACUCCAAUCAAACGAGCCGUAUGACGUAUUUCUUGUAACUCAUCGUCCGAUUUUCGGAAACCAGAAAGGAAAUAUAUAAAUGACUAUUAUAUAUUAUAAGCCUUUAAAUGGCUUGUUUACACGAGCAGGGUGAAGAGUUCAUAACUUCCUAUAUAUAUAAUGUAUAUAUUCUUUCAUGGAUGACAGGUCAUAAUUUUAAACUUAAGAUCUUUAACGUUCAUAUUUUGAUAACUUAUAUACCCUUUUAAACGUAUAUUUAUCUUCCUUUACUACUAAGUAUCGUUUUGGAUAGAGGCAUUACGCAGAACUCAUUGAUAUUUUCAGCAAUUCCUACAGAUAUUUAACGACGUAUUCUCUGUAAGGAAAUGAACUUUUACCCAUGAAGUCUAACUGAAUGCAAUGUUACAAGUGAUCGCCUCCCUGCUUACACGCCCUAAUAUUUAUUUCAAUUUGUAAAACCAAAAUCUACGACCACCAGAAUAAUGUUUCCAUUCUGAUCAUAAAUUCUCCUCUUUUUGAUGUUGGAUUUCCAAUUGACCAUUCUUACGGAGUAUUUCUUUUCAUUUUUGUUCUCCUUUAAAAUUUAUUUUACAAAAAGCGGAACAACGGGAAAUAUUACAUCUAUGAGAAGCCAGUUUGGUUUAAUUUUGUAAAAAAAUACUCUAAACGGAAUCCGAAUAUGCUUAGCAAAAUCAGUUCCUGGAAAGAAAAGAAUGUCAUAACUGAAAAAAGAAACAAAUGAACCACCAGGAAAAACAAUUCUGCUGGCUAAUUAGGCCCUAAAACAUUUUUACAUAUAUCAAUUCGGUGGUAAUGAAUUUAUAGGUUUGUUUCAGUCCUUUAAAGAACUAAAACCUUCGAAGUAGUAAAAACGGAAAAAAAUUACCUUACCAUUGUUCUACAUUCGGGUUUAUGUAACAUCGUAUACAGUUAUCUAUUUAUUGUUGAAGGUUGUUUGUUGACCUCUAAGUGUCUUCCUCUGUUUUUGUCGUAUGGUGUCUGUCUUAUAUGCGAAUAUUCCUCAUCUUCUUUAGUUCAUAUACUCUGUCUUUCUGUGGUUGUGUUCAUCAAUAAAGACACUACGGAGCCUUUGAAACCGAUGCGUUAAUCUAUUUGUGAUCAUUGAACAUCGGAGAAGAUUAAAAUCUGAAUUGUCAAAUGUUUUUUUUUAAUUUUUUUUUUGUGAAUUUUCCUUUUCUAACAUACAUGGGGGGUCAUACAUGCGAAAGACAGGUAGGGUUUUUACGUAUCACAAAAUAUUUUCUUUCCUUUCUGCAAACUUUUUUCUCCCGUUUAGUCAUUAAAAAUGAGAAAUUAGGAUUACAAAAUAGGCAAUGGUGAGCAAACAGAGAAUUACAUGUAAUGAUGAAAAAAAAGAAAAUGGAGUAAAAUAGGCCACAAAAUAAAGAGUAGUGAAAAUUGGGGUCCUUAGAUAUCAUAAAUAGAGAAUAAUGCGCAAAAAAUAAAGAAUAGAAAAAAACUGAUCUAAAAAAUAAUUGAUACAGAAAUUACCCCCCCCCCCUUUUUUUUCUUUCUCUCUAGACCCUCAUGAUCUUCAUUGCAGAAAUGUUACAGUUACGUUCACAAACCUGAUCGUUUACACAUCUCACUAUUAUUCAUAUGAACCUAAAAGCAAAAUAUCUUAAUGGGUUCAAGCUAUUUUAUCUAUAUAGAUUUUGUUUUUUUCAUUAUAACGACACUUAUUAUUGUUUUAGGAUAACUUUAGAAAGAUCAGAUGGAGCUUUAAAGUUUAGAAGACAACUGCAAAUCUUUUGUGAGCAUCAAAAACAGGGAGCAAAACAAAACAGUGCUUUCCAAGUUGUCAACUUAAGAAUUCUUCACAGUUUUGGGUUAAAAAUAUAGUGUGAAGGUAUUUUAUCUUUUAGAUGCAUGCUUAUUUAGUAAAUUCACCAAAUUCAAAUUUGAAUCCGUAUGCUGAUAAAAUAGAUAAAAUGGGUUAGACUCGACGUCCAAACGGAACUUUAAUAAGGAGUACCCAAAUUGCACAUAAGCUAAUAACUUCAGAUUUGUGAUUCUAUAUUGAGAAGUAUCUAAAUCGCAUGCACACAAGCUUAACAUCUGUGAUACCGUAGUGAGAACUCAAAAUCGAUGUUUUGCUUUAUUUCUCAACAUUUAUAAAAAUAAUUUGACAAACGUUUAGUAUGAUAUUAUAUAUAUAUGACUCCUUUUUGCAAGAAAUUGAUGCUUGUGAUUUAUUUCAAUUGCCCAUUUUAAAAGUUGAAUUGAUCUAGACGUCGCAUGUUCGCUGGAUUAUUGUUCGCUAGCUUGAGUCUGGUUAUGGGCGUUUCCGUAAAUGCUCUUUCUUUUCACUGGAGACUAACUCUGCAGUGGUAUAAUAUUAUAACCGUUUGUUGUUCAUCAUUUAGGCAUUUAGUGACAUUGGGAAAAUGACAAAUAAAGGUAAAAGAUAUCUGUCAUUUUUGGAGGGCGGUUGAAGAAAUGGUUUAAAUUAGAUACUCGGUUUAAUUUAGGUACUGCGACGUAAUUAUUUUUCGUGAAUUUAAUAUCACUGCGCCCCACUUAUGAAAACUUUUACUGUGGUAUAUAAUACAUACUGAUACGUUUUUCUGUAAUUUAUUUGCGUUUAAAUGAAGUUUCAAUAUGCAAAAAUAUUUUCAAUUCGGUCGAGUAGUGUGCAUGCACGAUUUGUUUCCUUCUAAAAAUCAUAAAAAAUAAGUUCAUUGAUAAAAUGUUGAGAUAUAAAAUUUGUCCAUCCUAUCGCUAGAAAAUAUUUUCUUUAUUUAUUGGGAUUUUUUUUUUCUGAAUUUACUUAUACAUUAUAGUGAUUGUCCGAUAUCAUCUACAUAAGGAGAUUAUAUUUAGGUAUCCUUAUAUAUUACGUCACCUUUAACCUAUGAUGGGCCUGAUGGGUUAUUUUCAUUCUUCGUGAUCGGCGCAUUUUCGCUAUUGUGAUGCGUUUUUCUAUAUAUUUUUUACUUUUUUAUUUACGUGAUCCGUGAUCAUGGAAAUUUAUUUUCUGUGAAUCGUGAUUGACCAAAAAAUCAACUCGUGAAUUGUGAUGAGACCCCCAACUCAGGCCCCUCGCCUAUUACAGUACAAAUGUAUAUCUUUUUUCGUUAAAUGGAACAACCUUAUGAUUGCGGUCAUAUUUACAUUGGAUUCCAAGAAAAACAAGGUCACCGGAUAUGGUAAGUAUAUAAUUAUAAGUAAUCCAUGUUGUUUACAAUUACAAUUGUUUAACCAUUAAAAGUAUAGCUAUACAUGCACUGGUCAUAUAUAUGUCAAGCAAACAUUUCUUCAUUAAUUAGUGGUACAAUUUUGAAGAAACUAUCAUAUGCUACAUAAAACAAAAGCUUACUUGAUAUUUCCAAUUUUCGAUGUUAAAAAAAAGAUUCAUGUUAAAUCGCGUCAUAUGAGAAAUCGACAUGCAUUUUGUUGUGCACAUCUAAUGAAAGAAAGUUAUAUGUGAGAAGUUUCCGUUAUCAAAAUAUACACAUUAUAUUCACUUUUCCAGGAAACGUGUCAAUAGUCCUAUUUAGCAGGUCCCUGGCGUUACAAUUCGAUAAAUUCUACCCAAUCGUUUUAGCUGAAAAUAUGGGUCAGCCUAACAAUGCAAACCAAAGCUGUGCAACAUAUAAUAUGUCAUUUGUUUAAAUGUUUAAAUUCACGAAGAAUUGUCUUAUUUAUAAAUAAAUUUAAGAGCAAUCUUGGUUUUUAUAUUUCUAAAAAUUGAAGUGAAAAUAUGUAAAUAGAUUUUUUACAUGAUAGAUAUUUAUAUAGAAAUUAAAUUAAUUACAAAAAAAAAAAUAAAAACGGCCAACAUAAAUAAAUCAUAAAAUGAUUGAUAUUUUUUCAUCACAAUGUCCAUUGCAUAUUCAUUACAAGAGCUGAUUAACAGUAAAUCAAAUUGAAAGAUUCUGCAAAAUGAGCAGCCGAAAGGGCGGGAUUUUGGACUGGCACUGAAAAAAGAUAGGAACCCAAAAAGUGUGCAGCAAGAAGCCAUCUUGGAACAAAAAUGAGAGUUGUAAAAGGACAGUUUUUAUUUGCAGAGAGCUCCCUAUUCUACGCAACGAUAUAGCUAUAUAUAGUAAGGUCCACGUGGACGCUGACUCAGAAAAAUGAACGACACCCAAGCAGUAAACAUAUAUAGGUUUUACUUACGGACAGGAGACGGACAAAAUAUAUCCCAGUCGACUAUUAUGUUUAAAAUUUUGAAAAAAAAAUGUCGAUUUGAAUGUCCUUGAAUUAUUAUAGAUAUUUAACUAAAAUAAAUUAUUUAAAAUAGUAAUUGAAAUUUAAAAAAAAAAAGCGACCACCGACCUCUACUCUAGUUAAAAAGCCUAGAGAUUAUUUAAUAUAAGCACUUCGAGUUGAAGCAAUAACAAUACUUCAUUCUCACCAUAAAAAGUAAAGGAUAAGUCACAGAGAAUUGUUUAUAACCUCUGUGUUGAUGUGAAAACUGCAAUUUUUUGUUUGUUUUAUGUUGGUUCAAAUUUUGACGAACAUUGGCCAUACAUAUCUUAUUAAAAUUUUAGAUUCAGAUUUUGCAGAUCUACAGUGUUAUUCCCUUUUAAUUGGUAACACAGGUUUUGCAAAAUAUAAGACUUGCACUCGAUUUUUGAGACGUUUUGAAUAUUUUUUUGUUUUCUUUUAUUUCAUUAAAUGGUUUAUAUGUCUCAACAUUAAAUUUUGCUCUUUAUGUUUAAUUUAAGCCUUCCUUUAUGAUGGCUAAGACAAAAUAUUUUGAAGUAUUUAUCCGGGUGUAUCUAAUGAGGCCCCUCAUGGGGGGGUCCUAGUAAUCACAUAAUCACCAUUUUUUUGCCAAUAUAAUCACAUAAUCAUUAAAUAUUUGCUUAUCUUUAGUAAUCAAAUAAUCAUAAACUAAAAAUACAGCCUAGGUAAUCAAAUAAUCAUGAAAUAUUUGGCUUAAUAAUCAAAUAAUCAUUAAAAAAACGGCCAAGUAAUCACAUAAUCAAAAACCCCAUGAGGGCCCUCUCUAAUCUGGGACCAAUAAACAAAUUCAUGUACUAGUCCCAUAUUUAGUAAAUGCUCUUAUUUUUAUUUGUGCUACAUAAACAUUUUAAAUACAUAGUAACAAUUUUAUUGUAUUGAUUUAAUUUUUAUAGAUAUUUUUUUUUAGCUUGCCCUCAGUUUCUAUCAAAUACGACGUUUAGUAGAUCUCUUUCAUAAUCACAUUAAAAUACUUCUAAGUAAAACCACAAAAGUUAAAUUAAUGUUGAGAGGAAGUAUCAGAAUUUUACGGUAGACUUAAUUAUUGGAUAAGAUAUAAAUGCGAUUACUAACACAAACCGCCGUUAAAUUAUUGGAAAAGUAAAUGAAUUGCUCAUCAUUGAAUUUAAUACAAUUUCAUUCAUUGUAUCCAAAAAUGAAUAUUAUUUUACGAGGAAUUACGAGGAAUUACAAGGAUGUGUGUGUGAAACCACACUUAAUACUGCAUCUAUUUGUGAACUUCACCUGUAUAAUUAUACAUAAUUCAGCGAAUUGUUUACAAAUAAAGGUCACGUGUGUUUUACUUUCACUUUAGCAAUUUUAUAUUGUGUAAACAAAUCCUUCCAAAGUACUGAAUAUUGAAACAACGGGCAUAAC